ensembl:lncRNA
GGACGGAAGGACGGGUGUGAAGCCGGAUGAACGCAGAUAGCGCAAGCCGUAAUUGGAUUGAAAAUAACCAACUCGCGACGAAAGAUCAACUCAAAGUGCAUGAGGAUGCGACCGCGCGCCCCGAGAGUUUGUGCUUCCCCGUCUGUGUGAAAGCUAUCCGUGAGUUUGCCGUGAAUCGACAGCAGCUGCGGAGACAUGGAGCAAGUGGGGUGCGUAGAUCGGCUCGCCCACUUACCUCUCUACCCGGGAUUCAGCCGCUGCCGCGUGGAAAGCAGAGCCGUAGAGCCGUCCGUGUGAUCCGGUGUCGAGGGGAUGCAGACGGUCACAGGCGGAUGCACAGCGGCGCGGGCUAAUUCAGCACACCACGCUAAUCUCCGUGAUGUCACUCCAAACAACUUAGUGGUUGAAGGAGAGAGCUCAACAGUCUUUAUUUUACUCUCAGGGCCCCGCUAAACGAGAGGAUCAGGAAGGGUUUGAAAGAGUCGAAACCAACACAACCAAGGAAGAUUGUCAACGAUCACCAUUCCACACCGAAGACACAACCCAACCCCACAAUAUUAAUCCACAUAACACGAAAUAAACCCCUAAAAUCUCCACCAAGUCUAACCUCUAUCCUUGAGCAAGAAACCUUACACCUUGUCUCAGCCUCUCCUGUUCCUUUAAAUAGGCUGAGACUCACUCAUUAUGUGAUGAGUCACAUAUUGAGUGAUUGAGAGCUAAAGUUAGGCACACUGUGUAAGAAUCAGAAAUUCCUUCUCAUUACUGCCCCCUGGGGCUGGUAAGUGAACUGCAGCCUGCUGUAGCUCCCGUAUUGAGAGCAAUGGAGUGCAUCCUCCGUGGAUUGAGGCACUUACAAUCAUGAACUAAUGUUAGUAAUAAACAAACAUCAGUAAUAAACAUACAAUGUUACCUUGAAUUUACAAAUUAAAAAGUUCGACAAGAAC